CCACAUCAUAUUGAAAAACUGGUUCUCAUCUGAUUACUGAAGUUAAGCAACAAUGAGCUUGGUUAGUAACUAAAUGGGUAAUCGCUUGGAAAUACCAGGUGCUGUAAG